rnacentral:lncRNA from 1 species
AAGCAUUACAUGUUAUUCUUAACACCUGCCACUUCUCUCUUCCCACCUCUAUCUGCCUUAUUGAACUUCAUCUUUCCUUCAUUCUCUUCAACUUCCACUUCUUCUUGUAUGGUCCUGUUGAUGCCAUCUUGUUUCCGUCCCCAGACUCAUCAUCUUUACCCUCUGUCAACUGAGUUCCCACCCUGGUUCUCUCUCAAGAUCUUCCUCUCAUAGCUUUCACCCUUGGUAAACAAUGAGGACACAUCUCAAAAAGAAUGAUGUAAUUUAAUUGCCUUGAGUUGGCUGGGCCAUCAUCUAUUAUAAAGUGCUCUUAAAAUUAAAGCUAAUUUAAUUCUGAAGAACUAAGGAUUAAGAAGUUAAGAGCUGGGGUUCUUACAAUAUGGCUUGCAGACUACAAGUGUGAACUGAGGAGGUCCCCAAAGUCACUUCUUACUAAGUUCAGAUAGGUGAUGGAUUGAAAAUAAUCCCAAUAUUCCACAAGCAACAUCAACAUCCCCCACACACCCAGCACCGAGGAAUACCCUCCUCUCUAGAAUGUGAGGCCACUGUGUGGAGGAAGACACCACGGUGCUCUACUGAGCCAUGAAAGUCACGCCUGACCUAAACAGAAGACUACGUCCCCUGGCUAAAAGAGGAAAUAGUUGAAAGCGGUGUAAAUGGCUCUUAUCUGAACCACAAUGAAUUCACAUAUUCAAGUUGGCUUCUUCGGAAAUUUCAGGCCACAAAUGGCAGUGAUGCGACCAGGAGCAGUAACACGAUUACAAGUCGCAAUUUAGGAAGGGUGCUCCAUCAUCAUUUCAUGAUUCUCACUACAGCCCAGACAGGUGGGCAGAGCAGUGUUCUUUCCCCUUUAAUGAAUGAAGAAGCUGAGCCUCAAACAGAUGAGGGGGCUUCCUGGGUUCACAGAGCUCUAAAGGGCUGAGCUGUAGAUCCACGGCCACCAUGAUGAGCUAAGAGUUUCUGGAUUCAGUGCCUGCUGUUGCUCCUGGAGAUUUGUAUCCUGAUUGAAGGCUGGUUCCAUAUCUGUUCACCCAGUGCCACUUCCAUCCGGACAGAAGGAACCCAGGUCAAGGCUGACAGGAGGAGCAGGAGCCGUCAAUGAGAGCAGACCUCAGAAGCCAACGGAGGUGAGAAGAGCACCAUCCACAGCCCCAUCCUCUGAAUGCUGUGGGAAGAAGUCCACAAAAUACCACCCCUUGGAGUCAGUCAGUAGUAGAGCCCUUGCUGCUGGCUGCAAAUACCCCAUCAGAACAUGUUUGGGGUGAUUCUUGGACCUGGUUUCAAUUUCUUUUCUGCCAGUCAGCAGUUGUGCUUGACUCACAAUUUGUUGCCAUCUCUUGAAUUAAACUCAGGAAACAGGAUAAAGAUCAGAACCACAUUGUAAAAGCUUCCUUAUGGUUCAUUUUUUGCUGAGAUAAAUAAUGAGCAGCUCUGAUCCAUGUCUCUGGAGAGCUCAGAGCACACUACCAGGAGCUCCUAGCCACAGGGUGAGCACAGGUGGCUGGUGUUCUCUUGAUGAGGAAAGACAGCAGUGUCCAAUCUACCCUGCCUUACACGGAGCCCCAGGUGCUCUCCCGGACUGUGUUGCUACCUAAAGCACAUGGCAAUUGCAUGAUGCUAACCAGAGCAGCCCCUCACUCAUUAGAAACAUCUGCUUUGCAUUAUUUACACAGGCAAAGUUUUCCUUUUUACUGAGCCUACCCAGUUCAAACUUAAGUGGGAUUUGCCAGCUAUCUGGCUAAUUUUAUGAGCAAUAAUAAAGAUUGGUGAACACUU